rnacentral:rRNA from 1 species
UGCAGCAACGCCGCGUGAGGGACGAAGGCCUUUCGGGUUGUAAACCUCUUUUAGUAGGGAAGAAGCGAAAGUGACGGUACCUGCAGAAAAAGCACCGGCUAACUACGUGCCAGCAGCCGCGGUAAUACGUAGGGUGCAAGCGUUGUCCGGAAUUAUUGGGCGUAAAGAGCUCGUAGGCGGUUUGUCGCGUCUGCUGUGAAAACUGGAGGCUCAACCUCCAGCCUGCAGUGGGUACGGGCAGACUAGAGUGCGGUAGGGGAGAUUGGAAUUCCUGGUGUAGCGGUGGAAUGCGCAGAUAUCAGGAGGAACACCGAUGGCGAAGGCAGAUCUCUGGGCCGUAACUGACGCUGAGGAGCGAAAGCAUGGGGAGCGAACAGGAUUAGAUACCCUGGUAGUCCAUGCCGUAAACGUUGGGAACUAGAUGUAGGGGCCAUUCCACGGUUUCUGUGUCGCAGCUAACGCAUUAAGUUCCCCGCCUGGGGAGUACGGCCGCAAGGCUAAAACUCAAAGGAAUUGACGGGGGCCCGCACAAGCGGCGGAGCAUGCGGAUUAAUUCGAUGCAACGCGAAGAACCUUACCAAGGCUUGACAUAUACCGGAAACGGCUAGAGAUAGUCGCCCCGCAAGGU